UACGUAGGGUGCAAGCGUUAAUCGGAAUUACUGGGCGUAAAGCGUGCGCAGGCGGUUCGCUAAGACAGAUGUGAAAGCCCCGGGCUCAACCUGGGAAUUGCAUUUGAGACUGCGUAGCUAGGGUGCGGAAGAGGGAAGCGGAAUUUCCGGUGUAGCGGUGAAAUGCGUAGAUAUCGGAAGGAACACCAGUGGCGAAAGCGGCUUCCUGGUCCAGCACCGACGUUCAGGCACGAAAGCGUGGGGAGCAAACAGG
rnacentral:rRNA from 1 species